AUAAUUUUGGGGUAUCUCAUGAAGAAGUCGUAGACAACCAUCAAUCAUUGAUCCUUGGCUAUAAUUUUUCUCUCAUUUCCUUUCUGUUACCAAUCAAAGAAUGAUGACAAAAGGAAAAGAAGCUAAUGAGAGAAGCAUGUUGCAUUUUUAGUUAGCUUUAUGGAAUUAGUGGACUUGUUUAGAUCAGGUCAUGUGUUUGUAGUGGAGGAGCAUUCCAAUGACUCCUUUUAUUGAAAAUUUGACAUGCAUUCAUUUUGUAACUUAAUAUCUUCUCGCUCUCUGUUUCUCAUUUUUUUUUCUUCACCUUGACUUUGGUAUUGGUGAUACCAAAGACUUAAUAAUCUACUCGACUCCACUAUGCUGGAAAUUAGUUUGACG
rnacentral:misc_RNA from 1 species